rnacentral:lncRNA from 1 species
CAAACAUUAAUUUCAUGGUUCUUUAAUUAAAAGCAUGGUUGCUUUGCCAACGGCAGGCAAAUGUUGGCCUCUUGCAAGGUCAGUGAAUUUCUGUAGUUUUGGAUUUUAAAAAAUUGCUUGAAAACAGCUCCAUCUGCUGGCUGUUAAGGUUGGUUUUUUAUUUUCUCCUGCCCAACUUUGUCCAUUCCCCUCUGAACCUUCAAUGUAAUUUUACUAUUCAGCAUCAGCUCUCUUAAGUCUGGUCUGACACAGCAGCACAUAGAAUCCAUGUCUUAAAGGAUCAAAUCACAAAGGCUGUGUUAACACAGAGCCUACGUCAUAGCAUUUACAUUUGAAAUGGACAGAGUCUGUGCCAAAACUAAAUUUAGUUAGUUGCUGUAGUAGCCCCUUACCUUAUAUAUAUGUGUGUGUGUGUGUGUGUGUGUGUGUGUGUUUUACUACGGUCAGUGGGGUGGAUUUUUUUUUUCUUAUUAGGCUGCAUUUAAGAUUUUGUCUGGGUAGAUGACUCAUUGCUAGAAACUGCUGGUUGCAGUCUAAAUGUGUUUGUGUGUGUUGUAGAGUGAGGUGUAAUUAUAUUGAUUUAAAAUGGUAGAUAAGAACAAAGCCUAAUUACAUGAAUUGGCUUUAGCUGCAAAUAGUUGUUUGUGCUCCUUGCUACAAGAGAUAGCCUCUUCUGCCUCAUUUGCCAUAAAAGCUACAAAGCUGUUGGUAAAACAACAACACCACCAACACCACAGGGUUACACCAUUGCUGCUGCUGGGCCAAAAGACCUGAAAUCAGCAUCUCUUGUGGCAACAACAGUCAGUAUUUUUGGGCACCUGCUAAAACUCAUAUCAACAUCUUAGGAGGAGAGUGGCUUCUUCUUAGCAAGCAACAGGCCUCUAGCGUUGUUCACUACUCAGCUGUUGAAACAGUAUUUAAGUGUAGCAUAAGGAGUUUAUUUAUUUUGAGAAAAAUCUUUACUUUUCCAACUUUUAGAUUAUGGCUCCAGAUGAGCACUGUAACCUCUGGUGAGCUGGUUUAAAGUAAAGGGUAUGAAAGAUAUAACGAUAAGACUCUUGCCAAAUGGCACCCAGUGAAAGAAAAUGUGCAGGCAACAGCAUGAUGAAGCCUACAGGUUUUAUGUUAGUGCUACCAAUCACUCCUGGUCACUCACAGCAUUCUUGCUCAGAUUUGAGGGGAGGGGCAUUGGUGAAGCACAAGGUGCCCUCUCCCCCAUUUCACACACAGAAGCCAACUAGACUGGGCAGAUGACUCUUACUUCAGCACCGGCAAGAGGACAGCGUCCUCCUCUUGGCAGUUGGCUAGAUUAGGAUGCACAAGCUGGGCUGUGUCGAUACACCUGCUGCUCUGUCCAGCUUCUGGAAGCACUCUGCCUAAGGGUAGGACCAACUUGGGCUCUACUGAGCGCAUCUUGCCCAACCUCCCCCAAAUACCGGUAAUCUCUCAUCAACCCCUUUUGCAGCAGAGGGGGAAAGGAUUGCACGAUGAAUUGCAGAGAAAGAAGUGUUUCUUCUGGAAUGUGAGUCCAUCCAAUGAAACUAUGGGUGCUGGAAAUUUCAGGACGCAUAAAAGAAAGUGAAGAAUUCACACAAUGCAUAGUUAAACUGUAGAAUUUGCCCCUGCACGAGGUGGCGGGAGCCAUCAAUUUGAAUGGCUUGAAAAGAAGACGAGACGAAUUAGUGGAGAACAAAGCUAUCCAUAGCUACUAGGCACAUUGACUAUGGUCUCCCUCCACUGUUGGUAAUACAGGCAAUGACUGGCACAGCCAAAUGGUGCGUUAUUGCACAUGUGCACAGAGCACUGAACCCAGAAGUAACCCCAAAAUGUCAUAAAGUUGUCAUGGAAAGGAGCGGGGUGGGCUUACACGUGCUCCAGUGAUGCACAUGAGGGUCCAGAACGUAACCCUCACACAAAACAAGAAGUGCCUGUAUGUCUCAUAACUACCAGUUGCUGGGAAUCACAAGUGUGGAGAGUGCACCAGCAAGCAUCUAUCUGGUUGGCCGUUGUGAGAACAAGAUGAUAAGACUAUAUGGCCUGGUCUAGGAGAGAUCUGCUUAUGUUCUUAUUAUGAAGAUUGAUCUGAUUGAGCAGGGCUCUUAUGUCUUCUUUGGUUAUCAUUCGUAGCUGAGUAAGAUUGUCUUCCAUAAACAUGGUUUUAACAAUGAGUUCGUAAGUGACUGUGGAGGCCAAUUCUGGAUCCACACGUCCUUCCACAGUGGGGUUCAGGGAAAAAGGGAGGCAGACUAUGUUUAGGGCACCUUUUCUAGCCCCUCCCUCUUUUCAGGGUGAGCAGAGUGGAUCCUAAAAAGGGCUGCUCAGUCAUGGAUACAGCUGCUGAGCUGCUCAACUGCCUCGUUCCUUGAGUCAGAAUGACUGAAUCUGUAUCCACCACCCAUGUGCCGGUUCAUGAUUAGGGGCUUCCAGAUUUCACGAUCCUGCCCCCGUUACCAUUUGCUGGUUGCCAUGGGACUUUUGGAGUUUGGGUUUGGGAUGGGUUUUUGGAAGAUGCCUGUGUGUGAAUUUGUUUUAUGUGUGUAGAUCAGUGCACACAGACCAACACACAGUCUUCACAGUAAGGCUCUGUUCCGAUGGCAUGAGUAGUCAUGGCGACCAGUAGAUUCUUAUCUGCUGCAGCUUUCAUCUGCCUUCACAGCCAUUGUAACAUACCGUUUGUUAUCACCCGCCUGCUCUGCCAUUGAGGACAUCUUGGAUCAUUCAUUGUCUAGCUCCUUCCCUUUGACCUUACCACUUUGGGUGACUCUGCUGGGAGUACGAGAUUCCCGACGGCUUUGCUCACAAGGGUCAUAGGAACAUGCAAGCCCAUUCAUCAUGACAAGGUGAUGAUCCAGCACAUGAGGGCUCGUAUGCACUCGUGCUUUGAAUCAUUACACCUAAUCCUUACACCUUUUGAGUUGCAAUCUGAAGGCAGAGGCUCAUGUGACUCAAUUUUAAUAGACGAGGAGAAAUUCAAAAUUACCGUACUCCACACUUUUGUAGCUUAACUUGGAAUUGAAAUGGGGCUGGAAUCAUGUCUUUUGUUUCAGACAUCCCUUAGGCUUGCACAUUUGUCAUGUCUUUAUAUUCUGAUGAUAGCAACAUAGCCUCCAGCCUUCCACAGUGGAGCUCAUAGAGUUGCUCUAGUGAGAUUUCCAGGCUAAAGUCACCUCUGUAGGAAGACUAUGUCAAGUUACUACAAUGAAAUGAUAAAAGAAAGUUACAGAUGCAAGUCAUGCAAACCAAUUGUGUCUAGAAAUGUGUCUGGAAAAUCAGACAUAUUUUUAUGAAGUAAUGCUUUAAACCAUUUGUCAGGGGAGGGGAACAUUUCCAGCAUUGUAACAUGUCAGAUAACAAACACCCUUGAUCUUAAACUUUUAAAAUUGUAAUGUACAUGGUUUACAAUGUUGUAAAUGGAUUAAAGGGGGAAUUUUUUUUAGGUGCUGUAAAUCCCUGUUCUUUUAGGUAGUCAGAUGGAGGUCUUCACCGCUGGCAUAUUACUUUCUCUGAGUGAAGAUGGGGUCAGGCUCUGACUUCAUCAGAAUCUUGUGCUCAGUGUGAAGCAGAUGAUUGGUGCCAACCGCAAAUCCCACUUGUGUUACAGAUUGACUUACCUCAGAAGUAGUCAACCCCAGCAAGACCAGCAGUUACCACCCAAUUUAAAAGGUGCUGAAUAUAAGCCUCCCUUUCCAUUAUUAUUAUUAUUAUUAUUAUUCCGCCCUAUACCUGGAGGUUCACAGAAUAAAAUCAGAAUAUAAAACCACAAAAUACAUAAUCAAAAUAAAAACAACAACCCAAUAACCCCUUCCGAAAAACCUGACAUUUUAAAAGGGCCUAGGAUGUCAAUCACUCAACCAAAGGCCAAGUUAAAAAGGUGUAUAAUGAAGGCGCCUAAAGGUGUAUAAUGAAGGUGCCAGGUAACUUCCCUGGGGAGAACAUUCCACAGAUGGGGAGCCACUGCAGAAAAGGCCCGUUCUCAUGUUGCCACCCUCCGGAUUUCUUGAGAAGGAGGCAAACCAAGAAGGGCCUCAGAAGAUGAUCUCAGGGUCCAGGUAGGUUCAUAUGGAAAGAGGCGGUCCUUGGGGUAUUGUGGUCCUGAGUAGUUUAAGGCUUAUAGGUUAAAACCAGCACUUUGAAUUGGGCCGCAAAACUAAUUAGUAGCCAGUGCAGUUGGACCAGGAUCAGUGUAAUAUGCUCAAACCAGUGAGCAACCUGGCCACUGAAGGCUGCAAUAGCUGAAGUUUCCAAACCAUCUUCAUAGGCAGCCCUAUGUAUAAAGCAUUGCAGUAAUCUAACCUUGAGGUUACCAGAGCAUAGACAACAGUAUUUAAGCUAUCCCUGUCCAGAUAGGGGCAUAGCUGAGCCACCAGCCAAAGCUGAUGGAAGGCACUCUGGGCCCAAGCUAUGAACCUCUUUCAGAGGAAGUGUAACCCCAUUGAGCAGGCAAUCUCCCACCCAUCUGGUCUAGGGAACCACACACUAACAGUGCCUCAGUCUUAUCUGGAUUGAGUUUCAGUUUGUUGGCUCUCAUCCAGUCCAUUACCAAGGUAAGACACUUGGUCCACCGCUUCCACUGCCUCACCGGCAGAUGUAAAGGAGAAAUAGAGCUGAGUGUCGUCAUCAUACUGCUGACAAUGUACUCCGAACCUCCAGAUAACCCCAUCCAGUGGUUUCAUGUAGAUAUUAAACAACAUGGGGGAUAGGAUUGAGCCCUCGGAACCCCAUGUUGAAGCAUUCCCCAAGCAACACCCUCUGGGAAUGACCAUCCAAGUAGGACUGGAACCACCGCAAAGUGGUGCCACCACCCCUAGUUCAGACAGUUGCUCCAGAAGGAUACCAUGGUUGAUGGUAUUGAAAGCCGCUGAGAAGUCGAGAAGUAACAGGGAUAUGUUUCCCUUGUCUCUCUGUUGACAGAGGUAACCAUACAGGGUGACCAAAGCAGUUUCUGUGCCAAACCUGGGCCUAAACCCUAAUUGAAAUUGAUCCAGAAAAUCAGUUUCUUCCAAAAGCGCCUGGAUCUGGUCUGCAACCACUCACUCCAGAACCUUGCUCAGGAAAGGGAGAUUAGCAACUGGCCAGUAGUUAGUUAGAUUUUCCGAAUCCAGGGAAGGUUUCUUAAGGAGUGGUUUCUGGCUGCCUCCUUCAAACAGGCAGGGACCACCCCCUCUAGUAAAGAGGCAUUGACUGUCACCCUGGUCCAGCCAGCUGUUCCUUCCCUGUUGCUUUUUAUCAGCCAAGAGGGGCAAGGGUCUAGAGCGCAAGCCCUGACCGACCUGAGCACCUUGUUCACAUCCUCGAGCCUUACCAACUGAGCCUUUCCUUGGAACAAUCAGGAGUGCAGUCCCAAGUACUCCUUUGCAGCCACACAUUUACCUGUUCCAUGUGACAGAUGUAGGUCAGGUGGUUCUGGCUUGGGCAAAACAGCUUCCCUAGCCACCCUUGCUUAGGCCAAAUUUCUGGCUCAAAGUCUUAUUGUGCACUCUAAAUGCUGCCUUUAAGAUGCACACAAGACAAAGUUAGAUGGUUUUAAUAAUAAUAAUAAAUCUCUAAGAUGACCAGUAGUCAGUCUUUUUCCCUCCAGGAUGGUACCUCCUCCUGUUUGGAAGAAAGGUUGAAUGGUGUCUUCACCAGGGAAAGGAGAACCCAGGAUGCAGAGUCUUUAUGAAGCUGUGUUAAAUAAAGCUCCCUUUCUCCUCCAUCCCUCAUGACAGCAAAUUAGAAACUUGUGAAGCUGCCAUUGGUCUACCUAGCUCUGUACUGUCAUGAUAAGGACUGGCAGUGGCUCUUCAUGAUUUCAGAAAGGAGAGUCUCAGAUUUAUACCUGGAGAUAUUAGAACCUUAUGUUCCACCACUGAGCUACAUCCUAUCAUGUCAAGUCUGGAGGUUCGACAUGACCCAUCUUCUGUGCAGACAUAUAGAGCACAACAGCACUGUAAUGUCAAUUUCACACCUUCUCCCCACUCUGUCCUAGGCUGAAAUAGCUCCAGGAGCCUUUUCAAAAGAUAAAUGCCAAGGUUGGACCAGCAUUAUCUCCCAAAGCCUGGAAUCACAAAAGCUACAAAAAAAAGUCAAUAAAAUCUCUGGCAGUACUGCAGAAAUUGCAAAGUCAAUCCCAGGCACAAAGUUCAGGAACAAGAGGAAAGGUUCAGCCUGCAGUCUCUAAUUGAGAGUCUCAAUGCCCUGAAGGCUAGAGUCACUGCUUCAGUUAAGGAGCUGCCCAGGAACUGGCCUAAGGGAAUUGCUGGGAGGGAACAGAGAGUCUGGCUAAUUGGAUAUGAUGAAGGUAUGCUCUUGAUUUAAAGCUUCAGGGGAAAGCAGCAGCAGCAUCCCUUUUGAAGAAGGAAGAUACCAAACAGUCCUUACAUCAUCAGUCAUGUCCUUCCCCACCAUUUCAUCAACAGACAAAUUGCAUUCUUCAAGGUAACUGCCAUUGCUCCCAUCAGAGAGGAACAUUUCACUGGAUGUUAAAGCCAUCACAAAUAUUAUGGAACAAACCAGAGCUGGAAAUAAAUUACAUCUAUC